rnacentral:rRNA from 1 species
GCUAAUAACCGGAUAACAACAGAUGAUGCCUAUCAACUGUUUAAAAGAAUGGUUCUGCUAUCACUCUUGGAUGGACCUGCGGUGCAUUAGCUAGUUGGUAGGGUAACGGCCUACCAAGGCGAUGAUGCAUAGCCGAGUUGAGAGACUGAUCGGCCACAUUGGGACUGAGACACGGCCCAAACUCCUACGGGAGGCAGCAGC